GAAUCUUCCACAAUGGACGACAGUCUGAUGGAGCAACGCCGCGUGAGUGAAGAAGGUUUUCGGAUCGUAAAACUCUGUUGUAAGGGAAGAACACGUACGAGAGUAACUGCCCGUACCUUGACGGUACCUUAUUAGAAAGCCACGGCUAACUACGCGCCACCAUCCGCGGUAAGACGUAGGUGGCAAGCGUUGUCCGGAAUUAUUGGGCGUACAGCGCGCGCAGGCGGUUCUUUAAGUCUGAUGUGAAAGCCCACGGCUCAACCGUGGAGGGUCAUUGGAAACUGGAGAACUUGAGUACAGAAGAGGAAAGCGGAAUUCUACGUGUAGCGGUGAAAUGCGUAGAGAUGUGGAGGAACACCAGUGGCGAAGGCGGCUUUCUGGUCUGUAACUGACGCUGAGGCGCGAAAGCGUGGGGAGCAAACAGG
rnacentral:rRNA from 1 species